rnacentral:rRNA from 1 species
GGUCCUGCACGAGCCUCGUCGUGAAGAUAAAGGAUCCCCGACGGGACCAUGUGGCAUGUGGUAGCGACUGGAACCGACGCAUUCCCUUCCCGCCCGAAGGACGCCGCAACCGGUUGGGAAACGGCCUGAGAGUCGAGCAGUGGCAGGUGGCCGGUGGCGCUACUCUAUGGCGUCGUCGGUGUCUAGCCGGCUCCUCACGCGGCUCGAKUCCCGACCGUGGUGUCGCGAGGCCCCGAAGCGGGCUUCUCCGCCUCCUCCGUAAAAGGAUUKSCGAMGGSSAMGGMARKGGUUYUGCAGUKSUGCACACSCACGGAMUGACUCCSUGGCGGGCGGCUUGGARUCCUCCAUGGUCGGRCCGUAACGGUUGGARUGUUGGUGGUUGGCGGCSAGUAGAUCGGUCACCCAUCCGACCCGUCUUGAAACACGGACCAAGGARUCUAACAUGUGUGCGARUCAAUGGGUCUCGAUUAAGCCCAGAGGCGCAAUGAAAGCAAAGGCCGGACUGGACGCCGGCUGUGUUGGGAUCUCCGAGCCUUCGAGCUCGGGGCGCACCAACGACCCGUCCUAUCCUAUCGGYYGGGCGGAGUCUGAGCAUACACGUUGGGACCCGAA